rnacentral:rRNA from 1 species
AAAUUGAAGAGUUUGAUCAUGGCUCAGAUUGAACGCUGGCGGCAGGCCUAACACAUGCAAGUCGAACGGUAACAGGAAGCAGCUUGCUGCUUUGCUGACGAGUGGCGGACGGGUGAGUAAUGUCUGGGAAACUGCCUGAUGGAGGGGGAUAACUACUGGAAACGGUGGCUAAUACCGCAUAACGUCGCAAGACCAAAGAGGGGGACCUUCGGGCCUCUUGCCAUCAGAUGUGCCCAGAUGGGAUUAGCUUGUUGGUGAGGUAACGGCUCACCAAGGCGACGAUCCCUAGCUGGUCUGAGAGGAUGACUAGCCACACUGGAACUGAGACACGGUCCAGACUCCUACGGGAGGCAGCAGUGGGGAAUAUUGCACAAUGGGCGCAAGCCUGAUGCAGCCAUGCCGCGUGUAUGAAGAAGGCCUUCGGGUUGUAAAGUACUUUCAGCGGGGAGGAAG